rnacentral:rRNA from 1 species
UGCCAGCCGCCGCGGUAACACGGGGGGCGCAAGCGUUAUUCGGAAUUAUUGGGCGUAAAGGGUCCGUAGGCGGUUCGGUAAGUCUCUUGUGAAAUCUUCAGGCUCAACUUGAAGAGGUCGGGGGAUACUGCCGAACUUGAGACUGUCAGAGGCAAGUGGAAUUCCCGGUGUAGUGGUGAAAUGCGUAGAUAUCGGGAGGAACACCAGUGGCGAAAGCGGCUUGCUGGGACAGUUCUGACGCUGAGGGACGAAAGCGUGGGUAGCAAACCGGAUUAGAUA